UGUUUUAUUUCAUUUACAUUGGGAAAUAAAGAAACGAUCAUUUUGUUUUGUUAGUUUUAAAAACUUUUGAUAUAUUUGUAUUUUGCAUUAUUAGCAGUCAACCGAUUGACAAACUAGAAUUAUUUGAAUUCCGUGUGGAAAGAGGUCGGGUUAAUUCGACUGUUAUCUGCAAUCUAGAUGUUUUUAAAUCAUUUCAGUGAGUCGUUGAUAUAACAAUUAAAGGUCGACUGAACAUGAAUUAUAAUGCAUAUUAUACAAUUUAAAGCGCAUUUCUAUUUAUGCACGUGAAGCCGUAUGACGUUAUUGUUAUUUCGAUAUCAGUUACAAAAAGUGGCAAAUUAUCGUUCCUGAAUAGGUGGCGCCGUGGAUGUUUCUUAACUUCCGGUUUCUGCACCGGACAAAUUUACAAUGACAUUUUUAAUUAAUGAUGCCUAGUUCUUGUUAUUGUGUACAUGGAUGUCAUUUAAGAGGAGGACAUGCAUAUCCAAAUGACUUAAAAAGAAGGAAAAGUUGGAUCAACGCCAUGGCCCAUACGCAGAUUGGACGAGAACACGAUAGUCCAUAUCAAUCAGCUGUUGUUUGCAAGGUACAUUUGACUGAAAACGACUACGUGCAGGAAACUAUUCAUGGGGGCAAACCCACCAUACAGAGACUUGUCUACUGCCAUUUAAAAUUUGGAACUGCUUUACAUUUUGUACAUAGUCCCUACUGCCUACAGCCUAUUUUUCUGGACCAAGCAAAAUGAGGAAGAGACUGAAUCGUCCGCAAAAAGAAAAAUCAGGGCAGUUUCCCGUGAAUCCAAAAGAACUAAACUGUAAAACAAUAUCUGAAUCUAGUGUUAAGAAUAUUGUGUAUGUACAUGGAUUGUUUUUAUGUCUAAACAGUGGCGAGAUGCUAUAGCUAACACUUGGCCAUCUAGUGGUUUGUCAGAUAUUUUUCGCCAUCUGACUUCAAAUAAAUGUUUCCUACAACUAGGAUUAUUAUUGACAGCACAGAAUGUCCCGUGAAAAAACCUAAAGCUCGGUUAAGCUCCUAGAGCUCAACAGGCAACCUUUUCAUCAUAUUAAAACAGAAAUACUGAAAAUACUUGUAUGUUCGACACCUGGUGGUUUAGUCAACUAUGUCUCUAAUGCAUAUUAGAAUAGUUGAACGAUGUAGAAUAGUUCAAUUAUGUGAUCCAGGUGACAGUGUGAUGGCAGAUAAAGGUUUUAAUGUGCAAGAUUUGUUUGCUAAAAUGGAUGUUGCCGUCAAUAUUCCAACUUUUUUCAAAAGGAGAAACAGAAUUAGUUCGAAAACUCUUAUACGGGAUAGAAAAGUCUCCAAUAAACAGGUGCAUGUAGAGCCAAUUAUUGGACUUGGCAAAACAUACAACAUGUACAAAAUUCUAACAAAUCCUUUGAAUGGAACUGAAACAAAACUUUCAUCUGAAAUAACAUUUAGUUGUUUCAAUUAUGUUGUGUAAUUUUAGAACUUGUAUUGUGCCAAAGGAUGCAUAAAUGAAAGUGACGCAA